CCUACGGGAGGCAGCAGUAAGGAAUAUUGGGCAAUGGAGGCAACUCUGACCCAGCCAUGCCGCGUGAGGGAUGCAGGUUUUCGGAUUGUAAAGUUCUUUUGUUUGUGACGAUGAUGACGGUAUCUACUGAAUAAGCCCCGGCUAACUUCGUGCCAGCAGCCGCGGUAAUACGGAGGGUGCAAGCGUUGAUCGGAAUCACUGGGCGUAAAGGGAGAGUAGGCGGGAUAGUAAGUUAGAUGUGAAAUCCCAGAGCUUAACCUUAGAAUUGCCUUUGAAACUAUUAGUCUAGAAGUAGAGAGAGGAUAGUGAAAUACCCAGUGUAGGGGUAAAAUUCGUAGAUAUUGAGUAGAACACCAGUGGCGAAGGCGACUAUCUAGCUCUACAUUGACGCUGAUGCUCGAAAGCAUGGGGAGCAAACAGGAUUAGAUACCCCAGUAGUC
rnacentral:rRNA from 1 species